rnacentral:rRNA from 1 species
CCUAAGGCUAAAUACUCUCUAGUGACCGAUAGUGAACCAGUACCGUGAGGGAAAGGUGAAAAGCACCCCGGAAGGGGAGUGAAAUAGAACCUGAAACCGUGUGCUUACAAGUAGUCAGAGCCCGUUAAUGGGUGAUGGCGUGCCUUUUGUAGAAUGAACCGGCGAGUUACGAUUUGAUGCAAGGUUAAGCAGUAAAUGUGGAGCCGUAGCGAAAGCGAGUCUGAAUAGGGCGUUUAGUAUUUGGUCGUAGACCCGAAACCAGGUGAUCUACCCUUGGUCAGGUUGAAGUUCAGGUAACACUGAAUGGAGGACCGAACCGACUUACGUUGAAAAGUGAGCGGAUGAACUGAGGGUAGCGGAGAAAUUCCAAUCGAACCUGGAGAUAGCUGGUUCUCUCCGAAAUAGCUUUAGGGCUAGCCUCAAGUGAUGAUUAUUGGAGGUAGAGCACUGUUUGGACGAGGGGCCCCUCUCGGGUUACCGAAUUCAGACAAACUCCGAAUGCCAAUUAAUUUAACUUGGGAGUCAGAACAUGGGUGAUAAGGUCCGU